GGGAAGAGUGUCAAAGGAUCUGUGAACAUGUUCUUUAAGCCAUCACAGCAGGCAAGGCGGGCUUUGGCAGCCAGAGAUGGCCCUCAGGGCAAAGAAACGCAGGUGCUUCUGGAAGUCAGGCAGGCUGAAGUAGGGGGCAGGUGCCUAUGAUGAAUGUGCAGAAGCUGCCAGAAAACUCACAGGUAGCCUGGAAGAAAAAUGAACAUUUUCUCUUUGGAAGCUCCAGAAAAAAGAAGAUCCUUGCCAUACAAGGCAGCCCUCAUGUUUCUGAAAACCUGUAGCUGCCGAAGAGGAGGCGUUUCCAGAUAUCCUGGUGGUGAUAUUCCAACUUAAAACAAACACAAGUGUGUUUGACUGGAGUUUAAACAAACACACAGAUUUGUAGCCCCUCAGGUGUCAAAGAUCAGUAAAAACAAAUCUGGAUGGAAUGAAA